AUUGAACGCUGGCGGCAGGCUUAACACAUGCAAGUCGAGCGGUAACAGAGAGAAGCUUGCUUCUCUGCUGACGAGCGGCGGACGGGUGAGUAAUGCCUAGGAAUCUGCCUAGUAGUGGGGGAUAACUUGCCGAAAGGUAAGCUAAUACCGCAUACGUCCUACGGGAGAAAGGAGGGGACCUUCGGGCCUUUCGCUAUUAGAUGAGCCUAGGUCGGAUUAGUUAGUUGGUGAGGUAAUGGCUCACCAAGACCGCGAUCCGUAACUGGUCUGAGAGGAUGGUCCGUCACACUGGAACUGAGACACGGUCACGACUCCUACGGGAGGCAGCAGUGGGGAAUAUUGGACAAUGGGGGGAACCCUGAUCCAGCCAUGCCGCGUGUGUGAAGAAGGUCUUAGGAUUGUAAAGCACUUUAAGUUGGGAGGAAGAGCAGUUAACUAAUAUUUGACUGUUUUGACGUUACCGACAGAAUAAGCACCGGCUAACUUCGUGCCAGCCGCCGCCGUAA
rnacentral:rRNA from 1 species